CGACCGCUGGCGGCAGGCUUACCACAUGCAAGUCGAGCGGGCAUCCUUGUGGUGUCAGCGGCAGACGGGUGAGUAACGCGUGGGAACGUGCCCUUCGGUUCGGAAUAACUCAGGGAAACUUGAGCUAAUACCGGAUACGUGCGAGAGCAGAAAGGUUUAUCUGCCGAAGGAUCGGCCCGCGUCUGAUUAGCUAGUUGGUGAGGUUACGGCUCACCAAGGCGACGAUCAGUAGCUGGUCUGAGAGGAUGAUCAGCCACACUGGGACUGAGACACGGCCCAGACUCCUACGGGAGGCAGCAGUGGGGAAUAUUGGACAAUGGGGGCAACCCUGAUCCAGCCAUGCCGCGUGAGUGAUGACGGCCUUAGGGUUGUAAAGCUCUUUUCUCCGGGACGAUAAUGACGGUACCGGAGGAAUAAGCCCCGGCUAACUUCGUG
rnacentral:rRNA from 1 species